GACGAACGCUGGCGGCGUGCUUAACACAUGCAAGUCGGGCGGAAAGGCCCUUCGGGGUACUCGAGCGGCGAACGGGUGAGUAACACGUGAGUAACCUGCCUUCAGCUUUGGGAUAACCCUCGGAAACGGGGGCUAAUACCGGGUAUUCACUGUCGACGGCAUCGUUGGUGGUGGAAAGUUUUUCGGCUGGGGAUGGGCUCGCGGCCUAUCAGCUUGUUGGUGGGGUAAUGGCCUACCAAGGCGGCGACGGGUAGCCGGCCUGAGAGGGCGACCGGCCACACUGGGACUGAGACACGGCCCAGACUCCUACGGGAGGCAGCAGUGGGGAAUAUUGCACAAUGGGCGGAAGCCUGAUGCAGCGACGCCGCGUGGGGGAUGACGGCCUUCGGGUUGUAAACCUCUUUCGACCCUGACGAAGCGUGAGUGACGGUAGGGGGAGAAGAAGCACCGGCCAACUACGUGCCAGCAGCCGCGGUAAUAC
rnacentral:rRNA from 1 species